AGAACCGUACAGCUAAUCAUAAAUUAGUACCCUGAUUCCAAGGGAUUUGGUAGAGAUUUUGCAGCAGGUCAAAGACAAGGUAAUCGCAACUUCGCACCUUGUGUGGUUGCUGUUUUCCUGGAAAUUAUGCAUCUUUUGGUUGGUGGUACGUGGAAAUCAACUCCUAUUCUACGCUUUUCAUAAAGGAUCAAAAGGAAAUUUAUUGAUUGUUGGCAUGAGGUUUUUUUUUAUUGCUCAUAUGAAUUUCGCAAAUCAUUUCUUUGAUGAAACUUUAUAUUCAUUUCUUUUGAGUGCGCAUCGGAUAAAUCUCUAACUAAUUUUGAGUAAAUUGCAAUAGACUCGAAAACUUUUAUGUUCUUAUUCUGAUUGCAAUAUUCUAAUAUGGAUAACAUCCGCACGGAAGCAAAGCAAAACAACCUUGGAGUUCGAAAAAACUCAUGUAUCAUGGUGCUAUACACGGACAAGGAUUAAAACAUUGGUGUGCAAGCAGAGCAGCAGUGUCAGUCACAAAUCAGAAGCAUCAAUAUGGUGGAGGCGGCGGUGCCUGAGGAGGAGGAGGGCUGAAAUGAAGAGGAGGAUUGACCCUGGGAGGUGGUGGCGAUGGUAUUCGCCUUCUCCAUACCCUGAACUUGUAGUUAGGAAAAUCAUUUGAAGAAAUUGCAUCAGAAGAAGACCUGGAUGGAGCUUCCCAUUCAAAAGCCCUGCAGAUGUAGCUACUAUGAGAUGAUAAUAGCAGAAAAUGGAUCAAAAAGAAACAAAGUAAAGAUGAAAUGGCACCCAUCUUUGGUUGUUGUAGGAACAAUAGUAAGAUGUGCCCAUUUAUAUUAGUAACCGGUUUAUGAAGACUUUCCAUACAGGAUACAAAGUGAACUUGUCGGAAUAAAUUAAUGUGUAUUUGUUUGGUUUUAUUCGGAAAGUCUACAGGCAUGCAAUUUGAUUGUAACUUGUGCAAGAGUUUUGUUUAGCAUUUUCCGGCC
rnacentral:lncRNA from 1 species